UCGAGAAUCAUUCACAAUGGGCGCAAGCCUGAUGGUGCGACGCCGCGUGGGGGAUGAAGGGCUUCGGUUCGUAAACCCCUGUCAUCUGUGAGUAAGGCUCCCAAUAAAAGCUUGGGAGAUUGAUAUCAGCAGAAGAGGAAGGGACGGCUAACUCAGUGCCAGCAGCCGCGGUAAUACUGAGGUCCCAAGCGUUGUUCGGAUUUACUGGGCGUAAAGGGUGCGUAGGCGGCUAUAAAAGUUUGGUGUGAAAUCUCCGGGCUCAACCCGGAAACUGCAUUGAAAACUAGAUGGCUAGAGGAUCGGAGAGGAGAUUGGAAUUCUCAGUGUAGCAGUGAAAUGCGUAGAUAUUGAGAGGAACACCAGUUGCGAAGGCGGAUCUCUGGACGGUUCCUGACGCUGAGGCACGAAAGCUGGGGUAGCGAAGAGG
rnacentral:rRNA from 1 species